UUAAAUCAUCAAAGUUUGAAGUUAAUCCAAAAGAAAAACAAAAAGAACAAGUUUCAGCGAAGGCAAAGCAAAGAAGAAAAAAAAAUGGCAAAGAACCUCAUCAACUCCGUCAGCUUCACUGUUCUCUUGGUUGUCCUCCUGAUGGCUUCAACCGGAAUCCUCAAUAGCGAGGCUACAUGCCCAGGAUGUACUUCACCUGUGUUCCUCGACGAGUGCCCGUCCGCCCACGGAACCAAUAAUGAAGAGUGUUGUAAGUGUUGCGCAGCCAACUACCCUACUGCUUGCGGCGGGGUUAUUGAGGGAACUG